UAGGGAAUCUUCCAUAAUGGACGCAAGUCUGAUGGAGCAACGCCGCGUGAGUGAAGAAGGUUUUCGGAUCGUAAAGCUCUGUUGUUGGUGAAGAAGGAUAGAGGCAGUAACUGGUCUUUAUUUGACGGUAAUCAACCAGAAAGUCACGGCUAACUACGUGCCAGCAGCCGCGGUAAUACGUAGGUGGCAAGCGUUGUCCGGAUUUAUUGGGCGUAAAGCGAGCGCAGGCGGAAUGAUAAGUCUGAUGUGAAAGCCCACGGCUCAACCGUGGAACUGCAUCGGAAACUGUCAUUCUUGAGUGCAGAAGAGGAGAGUGGAAUUCCAUGUGUAGCGGUGGAAUGCGUAGAUAUAUGGAAGAACACCAGUGGCGAAGGCGGCUCUCUGGUCUGCAACUGACGCUGAGGCUCGAAAGCAUGGGUAGCGAACAGG
rnacentral:rRNA from 1 species